CCCUUAGAUGUCCUGGGCCGCACGCGCGCUACACUGAACGGAUCAGCGCGUUUUCCCUUCCCGAGAGGGACGGGUAACCCGCUGAACCCCCUUCGUGGUAGGGAUCGGAGCUUGCAAUUAUUCUCCGUGAACCAGGAAUUCCCAGUAAGCGCAAGUCAUAAGCUUGCGUUGAUUACGUCCCUGCCCUUUGUACACACCGCCCGUCGCUACUACCGAUUGGACGUUUUAGUGAGGAUUUUGGACUGAGCCAAUGGUGGUUCACACCACUGUUGUGCAUGGAAAGAUCUCCAAACUUGAGCGUUUAGAGGAAGUAAAAGUCGUAACA
rnacentral:rRNA from 1 species